CAGAAUUCUCCUCGUCCCCUAGUCCUGCCUAUCUUCCUGCCUCAAUUGGCAAAACAGUGUUUUAUUCAUCAAUCUAUAAGAGAAGCAUAUGUACAGAAUGACAUCCCCUAUCAAAGAUGAGUUUUCAAGACUCCACAGAAAAUAUUCCAAAGUACUACAGUCAUCUCCUUGACUGGCCUGCAUGCUGACUCCAAACAGGCCAGGGUGAGGCUAGGGAGUUGCUGUCGUUACCCUCUACAAGAGGAACGAUGUUCUCUGUACCUCAUUGAAGGGCUCAGUUUGGCAAUGACAUGAAAUCCAUUCACAGUCCAAGCAUAGAUCAAUGUGGAGAAGAUCUGUGGGUCAUGAAAGAAUAUUUCCUCUUUUUUUUUUUUUUAGGAAACUAUUAAGUCAUACUCUUCUUGGCCAGCAAUACUGACAAGAAUGGGUACUGUUGAGUCCAUUGGUUUAUACUGAAGUAGGGCAGACAAGGACACAUGGAAAGCAUGCAUGAGAAGAACAGUCAUGGUGCUGAGGUUGCCAGACCAGAGGUGCUGCUUGGGACUCAAGAGUAUAAAUGGUUUGACUGUCAAGGGCUCUACCACUUUGUCUUUCUAGAUGAGAGAUUCCUGACAAAAAAGUUUCUAUAGAAACAGAAAUAACAACCAAAACAUUGUGUGUCUGUCCAACAAAUUACAGACGAGAUAGAUAGAUAGAUAGACAGAGUUGUUAUUUGUCAUGUAUGUGGAUGAGUGUGUGUGAUGCUGUAUGGCUGUGUGUGUGUGUGUGUGUGUGUGUUCGUAGACUUGUGUGUUCCACCAGACUAGCCCACUUAGGCAUGUGUAGAGGUCAGAAGUUAAUACAAGGACGUCUUCAUUAUUCGAGACAAGAUCUUGCUGUUUCAGCUAGACUUCCCAGUGAGUGGGAUCCCAGGAUACACCUGUUUCUCCUUUCUCAGUGCUGGGGUUAGAGACACAUGCUACCAGGCUGGCUUUCACACAAGUGCUGAGGAUUUGAACUCAGAUCCUUAUGCUUGUGCAGCAAGCAUCUUACCAUUGAAGCCACCUCUCCAACUCUGUAACUUGAGAUAACCUUUCACAUUCAUGAAACAUAAUGUGUGCAAACUAAAUUUCAUGCGUAUGAAAGAUCAUGUGGUGGUGACUAACGAAACAUUUUUGAGGGGAAAGAAAUAGGGAUGUGCAAAGACUAGAAAGAUGCCACCAGCCACCAAAGUGUGGAUCAGGUGUCUCCAGACUCUUGACGUCUUAUUCAAGAAUGAAAUAAAAGGCCACACAGAUUGCAAAGUAGUGAGGAAACUUUAUUUUAAGCAGAGCAGUAGUAACUAGUAAAAAGGAAGACACUGUCAAGAAUGACAGAUGUCCACACGUGUGAACUACUUAAGGGCCCCUUGUCUAAAGGGAAGUGUGUGGUUUUGGUGAUUCUCCAUUUUAAUCAAUAUAGACACAUCAGGUUAUAUAAUCAUUUCUCUACUGUGCGUAAUGCAUAGUUAUACGAUGGCAAGUGGGGGAAUCUCUCUAUUUACUUAAAAACACAGUUUUUGCUUAUUGAACACGCACUCCAAACCAGUUCAGGCUGGAUUGCCCUUUCUGAUAUUUUUACCUGAACAUAAAGAACAUAUGACUGAAUAAAAUUCACUUGCCCGUAUUAUUGUUAUUAAGGGAAACAGAAUUGUAUUCCAGUAUUUGGAGCGGAGUGUACAUAUGCCCUAUGCAAUGCAGGUGAAAUCCAAUGUUGCCAACAGGUUGCUAGGUAGGUACAUUGUUUGGAGAGGUUGUGGCCAUAGCUCAAGCCAGUGGAGUCCAAAUUGCUAAAUUAAUCCCUCUGCUUGCCUGCUUUAGAAUCUUGCGUGCUUUUGAAUGAGGAAGAACGCUCAAAAAACUGCUGUAGGUUUUCUGUGUGGAGAAACUGUGAAGACAGUUCACUUCUUGGACCAAGAGAACUCAACUCAAAAAGAAAGCAGUCAGCUCCCUGUGGUUUUCCCAUCAGAGCUUCGGGACCAGCACUUCUGUGAUCUCUGCAGUCUUGAAUCACAAAUGUGGGGCCUGAGAGAGAUGCCCGAAGGCACAGAGUAAAAUGAGUAAUGAACAUUUGUCUGGAAAGAUUUUGUUUACCGUAGCCCUUCUGGAAACAAAGUUAGAUUUCUUUAGUUUUCACACUUGUUUUAAGGAUGACGGAAAGAUUUAGACAUUAAGUGUUUUGGUUAUGAAUGUAGCAUUCCUAUGCAGGAGACCUAAGCCUAACAAUCAAGGGUCUUUGAACUCCUGGACUUUGUUUUCUUUUUACUAUUACUGGGGGCUGCCAUAUGGGAUGCAAAUAAAGCUUUGGUUUAUGACCUCCUACUUAACAUGGAUGCUCUCCCCAGCGGUCUGUCAUCACAGUCUUUGAAAUUCCACCCUUAAGAAGCCUUUCCUGGAAUGCAAACCUUGUUAUGGCCAGGCUCAAUUACAGAUGUCUCAGAGAAGAGUCACACAUCUUACCGGUUAUUUGAAGAGCCGAGCACGGGAACCUGAUGCUAGCUUUACCUGAGACAAACUGUUAUUGGUGGAGAACAGAGAAUAGAGGGGUCUCAGCGCAUCCCAGUGCAGGCAAAGGGUAUAUCAUAUGGGGAUACUGGGGACAGGUGUAUCUCAAGGCCUUGGGAUAUCAGUGGGCCCCAAAUGCCCUUGUAAGCUCAUCUUGCCAAGCUGAUGAGAAAUACUUGGAUGUGCUGAGGCUCAUCCUGUGUUGGUAGCAACUUCCAAGCCACUCAAUGCUUUGGAAUUCCUGUCUCACUUAACAGGGCACUGCUGCAUGUCUGAAUAUAAUGCUACUGGCUGUUCCAUGUGUUACUUAGGCUUAUGGCAUUUAUUGGUACCUACCUCUUUGAGAAAAGGUUUCAAGUCAGUCUGUGUGGUGUAUAUUUUACAAACAGCUUGACUGGGACAAUGGUAGUACUCGUAGGGACAUCAAUAUCUUAGAUGUCACUUUUUCCUUCUAUUCCUUUAGUGUCUUGCCUUGGAUUCUGGAGUCAGAGCUAACAACAAAUCUGUUAUUUCCUCUUUAUCUGUUUCCUUGUCUCCUUUAUUGUUGUUGUUCGGGACCACAGAAGAGCAACAACUACAUGCUCAACACGGUAUGUUAUGUGUGAUGUAGGUGGAGAGGGUGAGAAGCUAAUUCAUUAUCAUCCAUGCACAUCCUGAAUUGGGCAUGAUUUCCUUCUUAGAGUCAGAAAGUAACGAUUUGGGGCUUUGAAGUCUCUUCAGUUUUACCACAUAGCAUGAAACCCAUACGUCAGACGAAAUCACUUCCCAAGUCAAAUAUCACUGCUAAUAGUCUCUUUGAUUGAGAUGGUUGGGUUAAGAAAACUCUAUUCACUACAUAUAUUUCUUCCCAGGACACACCUAGUUUUAACUUUGUCCAGUCUUGCACGAGAUAGGAAAACCAUGAUCCAGGACAGGAAAAAUGCGUGGAUUUAUUUACUGAAACAGGCAGUGGCUAGUGGUUGGCUCCGGCAUCAUUCUCACUGCUCCCUAUGGCUUAUCUUAGCGACCCAUCUUCCCUCAGUGCCUUUCUGAGGGUGCGCUGGACUGGCUGGCGAGGAGUCCCAUCAAGACAGAAAUUCUUACUUACUUACUUACCAUUGCCCUGCUGGCUGGCCUGGUGAGUGCUCAACUAAUAUGAGCUGUGUGUUCCUUCACUCACUCACUCAGCAAGUGUGUACUGACAGCCUGGUCUCUUCUGGGGACUCAUAAAAGAACAACACUAUGCAAGAUCGUUAUAAAAAACUUACUUUUUAGAAAAGGAAGAGGAUAACUACUAAGCAGUAAUAAUCAAUAAGGCAAUAGUCCAUAGGGUUGUGCGAGAUUACAUGAUAAAGGUUAUGGAUGAAGAAAAACUACUGAGCAUGGUGAAGUGUGUUGGAACUCUCUGGGGUGGUAUGGGGUGGACGGGCACUUUAAUCUAGGCUGGUUAGCACCGGCCUCACUGAGAGGGUCAGGUAUGAGCAAAGAAUUGAUGGAGGUAAUGGGGUCAGUCAAGCAGCUGGCCUGAGAUGUUCUUCGAGUCAUCAGCUACAUGUGUCAGAGAAGGCUUUCUGGGCAGCUAAGUAGCUGGGCAGAAUUGCUCAGGACUCAAAAGAAUGCUGCCUGGAUAUUUUGGGUUUCUUCUCUGCUGAGUCCCAAGGCUGCCAGGACCCUCCCGACUUUGCCUUUUCAGAGCAGUGGUUUCCCCAGAGUCCACCACAGGGUGUUGUUUGAGAUACAGACGUUUCGGGAGAGCCUCGGUCUCUUGGGCGUACUUCCUGGAAGGCAUGGGCAAUCCCAUGGUUUCUGAGUAUAGUGGUUAGGUGGCACAACGUGGGACAGACGAUUGAGGCUGAGUGACUAUGAAGGGGUUAAAAAUGUAUUUUCAGGUUGUUAAACAUUCAGCUCUGAAAUUCCACGUCUCUAGUUAAAGCUCAUUUAAGUAGCUAUUGAAGUCUAGAAAGCUAGCGUGUUCCUCCAUGUCAAGUGACUUUGAGUGGUGGCAGUCAGCCAGUGACAGAAGAGAAGAGAUGGCUUUGUGGUUCAGGUUGGGCUGGAGACAAGCCUAAGGGGAGACAGGUGCUCAGGGCUGGGUGCCCUGCCUGCCUUUUUGGAACAGCAAGCCUUUAUGCCCCAACUAGCAUGUGUCAAGAUCACCCAGAAGCCUAUGUAUUAGAUUCUCCAGGAACAGCCUACCUCCCUGUGUAGGCUCGGAGAGCUCACACUCCAGUGGCUGUGAGUAUGCUCUGCUCAGUAGAGCACGCCACUGACCCCUCCUUCCCGGGACUGCUAGAUGAAGACAACCCAGGCUUUGUCCCAUCUGAGAGCAGCCAAUGCUGGAAGACGACUUUACCAGGGUCAAAAAGUUGACCUUAUUUGUAUCGUCAGAGGCAAUUCUGCAAGGCCAGCCUUGCCAUGGGGCUUCUCUUUGGUUUGGCUGAGACCAUUGCAAUGAUGUCUCUCUCUGCCUUUCCCUGCUUCCAUCAUUCUGUCUACAGGGACUGAUCCUGGGGGCAGCACCCCAGAAAGCCUUUGUGUAAUGUCCAUCACAGUCACCAGUCCAGGUCAGAAUCUGCUAGAAAGUGCCUGUGACAUGGACAUGUUCCUUGGAGCCUAGGCCGUGAUACACUUGCAACACUGCGUAUGGUUCACCAUCUCCGUGGCAUGGUUUUGUUUCCCUGCCCUUCCCCCCCCCCCCUGCUUUGUAUCUUAGAGCUGAACGUUGUUCUCCUUGAUGUGGACUCGCCGUUGGCUCUGUUGAGUCCUCGGGGAGUGUCAGUUCCUCAUGAACAAGUAUCAGGUGCUGUGGCUGCUUCAAAGGGGCAUCCUCAUUCCUGCCACACAUUCAAGCCCCUAGAGAACCCAGAAAGCUAAACCACUUUCUUCUCAUUGUCUUGUACGUUGCCCUCCAUGGAGAGCUGGAAAGAAUGAGCCAGUGGGAACAUUAAACGAUGGAUAGAUUCGAACCGGUUGCCUUGGGUGCGGUUGGCAUUCACUGGGAUAGGGUCAAUUGGGUGGUGGAAGGGGUGCUACAUGGGGGAGGGGAGACCCUCGCUUGGAUCUUGGAGAAUGAAAACCCACUGGGACAGAACAGGGGUGGAGGCUCCAGCAAGAGAAGAUGGCUACUCGGGAGGCAAACUGCCAGCUCCCAGGGGGUGGAUGGUGUUCAUCCGUUUACCACUUCUGUGUGCUGUCAGGAAUCUAACCUGGCCAUGAGAGUCUCCCAGCAUACUGUGGGGGCCCGGACAGUUCCCCCAAGAGCGUGGUUCUGCCAGCCCUGCCAACUCAAGACCAAACGUUCCUCCUACACAGCUGUCUUCCACAUGAAAUCCUGCCUGGGAGGCGGGUGAGCCAGCAAGUGAGCGAGAAUGAAUUACCCGUGGCCCACGGCUUGGCUGGCAUUCAGGCUGCCUGCUUGCUUGAGCUUUUCCUUCGUCUCUUGGAUAAAUCAGGAACUCGGAACACUCCUCUCGGAGUCAUUCCGCCCUCCCCACCUGGCCUGCGCCUGGCAGAAUGAAUGCCUGCGAGGCCCGGAACGCAGCGUGCUCACACAUACAUCACCUAUCCGGGUUCCAUGUGGGCAGCCUGGGGAGACAGGGUGAUAAGCAGUGUCCCCGCUCACGUGACAGGAGUCCCAGCAUGGGGGUAGAUUUGUCUAGGAAUCUGGGUUUCCUGGGCCAGCAGAGGACUCUCGGCUCGCCUGUCUUUCCUGGGCCUCUCUCCCUUUGCCUCUGGCACGGAGAUGUUCCCUGGGAUCUGUCACCACUGGGCCUUCUCCCACCCUGCAGCUGUCAUGUGUAUAAUGUCAGGGCUCAGAGUGUGCACUUUGACUCCGUGCCCCCUCCACAGAUCUCCCGCAACCCGCCUGAGUUUCUAACAAUCUUUUCGCCUCUCAGAUCAGCCUCCCUCACUCUGGGCACCAAUAGUCUUGCUAUCUGCUAAGCUGUGUGUGCUUCCAAAUGCUCUGUGGACAUCACCCCCCAAGCACCCCAAAUUCAACAAGUCUAAGAGGGAACUAUUUUAGCCCAUCGCUAACUGGGGCUUCCCCACCUCUCUUCAGCUGCACCUCUGUUCAUCUUGCUUCGACUGUCUGGACCUCUGUGGCAUUCCUUGGCCCCUUGCUCUCUGUCUCUUCCUGAAACCUAUUUGUUGUUUCCCAGAAGCCUUAGUGCCCCCUGGUCAUAGCCUUUCUGCAGCUUCCUGGAACCUUUUUCUUGACUUUUAAGAACUUCCUAUUAACUGGCCUUGGGACCACCAAUCAUUCCUGCCUCCAGCUUCAUUCUACAACUGUUUCAAGGGUUAUAGUCUGAAUUAUGUCAGUUAAAACCAUUAAUUAAUUCAAUUUUAAUUAUGUGAUUUUCUUGCUCAAAUCUACAAGGUUGUCUCGGAAUUUGCUCGGCUUUUAUGAUUCAGUGUCUCUAAACUCGUAGACAAAAGUACACCUUGGCCAAAAUUGCUUAUUUGCUGUUUCCCGAGGCUUUCUUGGCCUCCCCUACAGUUUCCUUUCCUGCUGCACUCUGUGCAGUCCAAACCUUCUUUGGAGGCAUGUCUUCUAGGACCCUUUCCUUUGUUUUGAUUGCCUUUUUGAGGGAGAAAAUACUUUAAUCCUUUAAAUGACGGUUCUGCCUUGUUUUGUGUUGAAAUCAUACUGAAUCUUGGGAAGUGUCAGUGUGAGGUUUUAUAAAAACUUAAACUGAUGCUAAUGAAGCUUAGAUGUCUGGUUAUUACAUGGGGCCUAUGUGAUCCAUGCACUUGCCUUUGGCUUAAGAGAUGUUGUAAUAGAUGUGACACCUCUUGCCCUUCUUGGUGUAUGCAAGGCCCUGGGUAUCAUCCCUGGCAUGGGAGAAGAAUGCAGGUAGGGAGGCUUUGAGUGAUGGUGCAUGCCUCUUUCCCCUAGGAGGAGGAGGAGGAGGAGGGAGCCCACAUGUUCUAGGCUAGUCUGGACAAGAAAGCAAGACCCUGUCUCAAAAAUAACAGCAGCAGCAGCAGCAGCAGCAACAACAACAGCAUCAGUCCAUGAUAGCUCCUAAAGUUUCAGGGCUGGGGAUCAUGUUUCUGGACACUCAAAGAGGGGGACAUUCAGUGUCAAUGCCUGCACAUUACUUACAUGGCUUCAAUGCAGUUGCUAUUUUAUGACCCUCACAGCACCCCUGAGCAAUAGGUUGCUUGUGUAUUGUUUCUAUGAAGGAAAUUAAGGGACUUAAUUGGUCGUCUAAUGGUCCGAGGGCAGAUGGAGGCGGAGCUGGACCAACAUGUUCACAUGACAUUAUGUUGCUGUCUUUGUCUAGACUAUUGAGUUCUGGUUGGUUGUACCCUCGGGUGAGAAUGUCCCAGGUGGAAACAGAAAUGACCAUCACAGCCCCGCCCUUCCACUUAACAAUUGACACCUUAGGGACACAGAAUGACAGAGAAGCUUGUGUUUUCUGACAGCUAGCAGAAUUCAGUGGGAGGAACCAUCUCUUCCUUCACUGUGGUACCCAGGGUGCCUGGUGCUCUGGAGCGGAGCGUGGCUCUCAGUUAACGGAGGAGAGGGCUACACACUCAGAAAAGCUGAGCAGAGCAUCCAAGGUCUUACAGCAGACUGAAACUCAUGCUGUUUGAAUUACUCUACGUUGUUUGGGACAGCCGGUGUCUUUUCGUAUCUAAGUAAUGAACCUGUUUUUAUAGUGUAGCAUCAGCUCUUGUACCAUUGCGAAGGCCCCAAAGGACAUUGCUAUGUUCUUAUUUUCCUCUCCCUGAUCCCCUUUAAUGGCUUGAAAACUCAAUACCCAGUCCCUUUAAGUUCCAUUUCUUUUCAUCUUCUUUAAAAACUUGAUAUGGAUCUCAAAAGCAUCACGUGAAGUAAGAAGCCACCAUUAAAGGCUGUCAGAUCUCAUGUUCGUGAAGAGACAGAACUCUAAUGUCAAAGACAUACGUGCCUGCUGGAUGGGGUGGGCCCGAGGCCAAAGGAACAUGGAGGAAUCUUUUCAGGUAACAUUUUCCUUUCUCUCUUGAGUUAUUAUAGAUUAUUCAUACUUAUCAAAACCUUUGGAACUAUACUCUCAAAUGGGUCCAUUUUAUGGUAUGUAAAUUAUACCUAAUGCUAACUACCCAAAUGCUCAGUUCCUGUUGAGGUCUGAAUGACAGUGGGAUUGACAACUUGAUGGACAUUGAAACUGUAGGCUGUGAUGAGCUAAAGCUUGGUGAAGCCACUGUGAUCUAAUAUUGAAAAAAAAAAACACAGAGUAUUAAAGCCAUUCAAGAAUAGAUUACCUUUCCCUGGAAAGUGAUUAAACUGUCCUGGAUAUGAACCCAGGACCCUUCCGCUGCCAUCCUACCUAAACCAUGUCACCGGGCCACAACCCUCUCUUCCCUUGGGCUAGGUCGGAGGCGGAAGCUGUCCGGGAAAUGUAGCAGCUGGAAUUGAGGCAGAGGGAGAGGUGCCGAACGAGAUGGCAGAGCUCAGAGAAAUAAGCGAUUCUGGAGGAAGCUGUAUAGCCGCCACUCCCAUAAUGCUGUGCCGCCAGUGCUUCCCCAGCCAGCGGAGGGGAUGGGAGGGGCCUGGAAGAGUCUGGCAUAUAUGGAAUGUAAUAUUCCUCAUUGUCAUUCUGUCCCCUGCUUAUUCCUCCACCAGGCCAUCUUGUACGGAUUAGGACACACUUAGGUGCUCCCUUCCUUCCACUCAUUGUCCCUCCCCAGGGAAGUCUCUUUGGGGACUCUCCUUCCAAUCUUUCUCGUGCAAGCCUUAGCAUUCCUCGCUCUCCCCAACUCCCAGGCCCUUCCAGUUCAUUCCAGUCUAGGAACUGCGCUUUAGCUUGUAGCACUCCUGCACCCAGAAAUGCGAUGGUUUCUUCCUGCCCAACUCUGCGGCUACCGGGUGUUGUCUCUGACACAACUGCUUGACAAUGAAGCGGAACAUGGGCAGAACAAGAAGAUGCUGUGUAACGCACAAAUUACACGGCACUUUCUGAAGUGCUAGUCUGCUCAACGCCAGGCUUGACUGCCAGAGAACUAACGGAUGCUUUCGGUUGUCCGCACGGCGUUUUCUGAUUUGAGACACCUGAUUAAAAAUAUAUGAAUUGCAAA